rnacentral:tRNA from 1 species
GACCCUGUGGCUCAGUUGGUAGAGCAUGGUGUUGAAAACACCAGGGUUGUGGGUUCGAUUCCCACGGGGGUCA